rnacentral:lncRNA from 1 species
AUUUUUUAUUUUUUUAUCUUUUAAAGAUUUUAUUUAUUUAUUUGACAGAGAGCGCUCGAGCACAAGCAGGAGGAGUGACAGAGGGAGAAGCAGACUCCCCGCUGAGCAGGCAGCCCGAUGCAGGGCUCGAUCCCAGGACCCCGGGAUCAUGACCUGAGCCGAAGGCAGGCGCUUCACCGACUGAGUCACCCAGGCGCCCCACAGUUAAGGAUGUUCAGAGGAAGAGGAUAGUGAGAAUACAUACGACGCAUUCCCCCCUGUCCGUAAGCGCAGGGGUGCGUGCGGGCAAGGAUGCAUCCCGGCCGGUCACACAAGGGUGGCCGAAGGCCAGUCUCGCCUGCGCUGAUCUCAGUCAGAGCCGAAUAGGAUUCCCUGUUCCGGAUGGGCACAGGCGGCAAUCCGGUCACCCGCAGAAGGAGGUCACGUGCGUCCGAGGUUUGGUGACGAUGAAGCUGCUGUCAACACCCGUAUGCGUGACAGCGGGAGCUGACGGCAAGGGGGUGCUGGUUGGUCGGCUCUUCCCUAACCGUCCUGCAAAGCUGCGGCCCCAUUUGGCAUUCCCACCAGCAAUGAGGGAGAGUUCCUGCCUCUCUGCGGUUUUAUUAUUUUUUUACAUUUUUUAUUUUUUUAAGGAUUUUAUUCAUCCAUUUGAGAGAGAGUGAGAGCUAGAGAGCACACACAGAGGGAGAGAGAGAACCAGACUCUCCGCUGAGCAGGGAGCCUGACACGGGGCUCAAGACCAGGACCCUGGGAUCACGACCUGAGCUGAAGGCAGAUGCCCAACCGAGACCCCCAGGUGCCCCAUAGGGUUAUUUAUUUAUUGCCAUGAACGUGUGUUUACUGUACAGAAGCAAGGAACUCAGGAGGACCGGGGACAUUGGCGGCUGAUUUCCGGCUCCACAGGCUCUUCUUACUUUGGGCUCCUGGGGAGGGGAGAGGGGCAGAGGACACAGAAGCGGACGGCCAGGCCACUGGCCACCCGCCGGGCCACCAACAAGGGAAACUGGAAAAGCAGGUUGGCUGAGGGCGGGAAAGCAGGACCUCAGGCUCUGCGGCCUUCAGUCAGGUUUGGCUUGGAGACAGAAACCGCCAU